rnacentral:rRNA from 1 species
CGCGGGCCCUAUCAGCUUGUUGGUGGGGUGAUGGCCUACCAAGGCGACGACGGGUAGCCGGCCUGAGAGGGCGACCGGCCACACUGGGACUGAGACACGGCCCAGACUCCUACGGGAGGCAGCAGUGGGGAAUAUUGCACAAUGGGCGGAAGCCUGAUGCAGCGACGCCGCGUGAGGGAUGACGGCCUUCGGGUUGUAAACCUCUUUCAGCAGGGACGAAGCGUAAGUGACGGUACCUGCAGAAGAAGCGCCGGCCAACUACGUGCCAGCAGCCGCGGUAAGACGUAGGGCGCGAGCGUUGUCCGGAUUUAUUGGGCGUAAAGAGCUCGUAGGCGGCUUGUCACGUCGACCGUGAAAACUUGGGGCUCAACCCCAAGCCUGCGGUCGAUACGGGCAGGCUAGAGUUCGGUAGGGGAGACUGGAAUUCCUGGUGUAGCGGUGAAAUGCGCAGAUAUCAGGAGGAACACCGGUGGCGAAGGCGGGUCUCUGGGCCGAUACUGACGCUGAGGAGCGAAAGCGUGGGGAGCGAACAGGAUUAGAUACCCUGGUAGUCCACGCUGUAAACGUUGGGCGCUAGGUGUGGGGGGCCUCUCCGGUUCCCUGUGCCGCAGCUAACGCAUUAAGCGCCCCGCCUGGGGAGUACGG